GACUAACGCUGGCGGCGUGCCUAAUGCAUGCAAGUCGAGCGGGCAGUCUCGUUAGAGGCUGUCAGCGGCGGACGGGUGAGGAACACGUAGCUGACCGGCCCUGGCAUGGGGGAUACCCAGCAGAAAUGCUGGUCAAUCCCGCAUACGCUCUCCUGGGUGGUGCUGGGAGAGGAAAGGCUCCUUGGGGGUCGUGCUGGGAGGGGGCUGCGGCCCAUCAGCUGGACGGUAGGGUAACGGCCUACCGUGGCGAUGACGGGUUGCUGGUCUGAGAGGACGG
rnacentral:rRNA from 1 species